rnacentral:lncRNA from 1 species
GCGGCGGAGACAGGGCGGCGGGUCGGGGCCGGCGAGCAGCGGCGGCGGCCGGGCUGGGCUUGGCCAUGGACGCAGCCAGAACAGGCUGUGCCUGUGCUUGCGUGACGAAGAAGAAGGAAGAAAGGGGAAAAGAAAGAGAAAAAGAAAAGGAAAAGGAAAAAGGAAGGAUGGCCGUUGGAUGGGAAAUGGAUGGAUGAGAUUAAAAGAUACCCCUUCGGUACACUUAAGUGAAAACGGGUUUCAUGGAAAUAUGCCUCCAUGUAGAGAAAACGUACUCCGCGGAAUAAAAGAAAAACAAAUAAAGAAACAGUUUUUUCCGGGUCUCUAAAUCGCCAGAAAAUCAAAUAAGGCAAAUAAAAUACCAAACGGCAUCGGAAAAAUUCUAGAAAAUUCCUGAAAUUCCAAAUGCCUGUUUGGAAGCUAGGAAAAAUAGUUUCCUCAUGGAAUAUAAUUUAUAAAAAUAUUUUUAAUGCAUAUUCAGCUCAAAUAAAUUCCAGCACAUGCAUAUAAUCACUCUUAAGGUCAAAAUAAACUCCCAAUUAAAUUGUAAGAUCAUCUCCAAACUCAAAUAUGGUCA